UACGUAGGGGGCAAGCGUUGUCCGGAUUUAUUGGGCGUAAAGGGCGUGUAGGCGGCCAGGGAGGUCCGUUGUGAAAACUCGAGGCUCAACCUCGAGACGCCGAUGGAAACCCCCUGGCUAGAGUCCGGAAGAGGAGAGUGGAAUUCCUGGUGUAGCGGUGAAAUGCGCAGAUAUCAGGAAGAACACCCGUGGCUAAGGCGGCUCUCUAGUACGGUACUGACGCUGAGACGCGAAAGCGUGGGGAGCGAACAGG
rnacentral:rRNA from 1 species